rnacentral:rRNA from 1 species
UACGGGGGGGGCAAGCGUUGUUCGGAAUUACUGGGCGUAAAGGGCUCGUAGGCGGCCAACUAAGUCAGACGUGAAAUCCCUCGGCUUAACCGGGGAACUGCAUCUGAUACUGGAUGGCUUGAGUUCGGGAGAGGGAUGCGGAAUUCCAGGUGUGGCGUGAAAUGCGUAGAUAUCUGGAGGAACACCGGUGGCGAAGGCGGCAUCCUGGACCGACACUGACGCUGAGGAGCGAAAGCCAGGGGAGCAAACGGG